rnacentral:rRNA from 1 species
GAGUUUGAUCCUGGCUCAGAUUGCACGCUGGCGGCAUGCCUUACACAUGCAAGUCGAACGGUAACAGGUCUUCGGAUGCUGACGAGUGGCGAACGGGUGAGUAAUACAUCGGAACGUGCCCGAUCGUGGGGGAUAACGGAGCGAAAGCUUUGCUAAUACCGCAUACGAUCUACGGAUGAAAGCAGGGGACCGCAAGGCCUUGCGCGGACGGAGCGGCCGAUGGCAGAUUAGGUAGUUGGUGGGAUAAAAGCUUACCAAGCCGACGAUCUGUAGCUGGUCUGAGAGGACGACCAGCCACACUGGGACUGAGACACGGCCCAGACUCCUACGGGAGGCAGCAGUGGGGAAUUUUGGACAAUGGGCGAAAGCCUGAUCCAGCCAUGCCGCGUGCAGGAUGAAGGCCUUCGGGUUGUAAACUGCUUUUGUACGGAACGAAAAGACUCCUUCUAAUAAAGGGGGUCCAUGACGGUACCGUAAGAAUAAGCACCGGCUAACUACGU